AAAAGAAAGGAAGAGCAAACGGUGGAUGCCUUGGCUCUAUGAGGCGAAGAAGGACGUGGUAAGCUGCGAAAAGUCUCGGGAAGGUGCAAACGACCUGUGAUCCGGGAAUAUCCGAAUGGGGGAACCCACUUAGUUGAAGACUAAGUACUCUGCUAUGCAGAGAGCGAACGCCGGGAACUGAAACAUCUUAGUACCGGUAGGAAGAGAAAACAAUUGUGAUUCCGCAAGUAGUGGCGAGCGAACGCGGAAUAGCCCAAACCGUUAUCGUUUAGGCGAUAGCGGGGUAGUAGGACUGCAAUAUCUGAGAAGUAUCUGAACUGGAACCUGUUUGGAAAAUCAGGCCAUAGAGGGUGAAAGCCCCGUACAGGUAAGGAUAUGAUUGGUAGCAGUAUCCUGAGUAGCGCGGAGCACGAGGAAUUCUGCGUGAAUUAGCCGGGACCAUCCGGUAAGGCUAAAUACUCCAUAGAGACCGAUAGUGAACCAGUACCGUGAGGGAAAGGUGAAAAGCACUUCGAGUAGAAGAGUGAAAUAGAACCUGAAACUGUUUGCUUACAAGCGGUCGGAGCGGCUAUAAGCCGUGACGGCGUGCCUUUUGCAUAAUGAACCUACGAGUCACCUUCUUUAGCGAGGUUAAAUCCUUAAGGGAUGUAUCCGAAGCGAAAGCGAGUUUUAACAGAGCGUUGAGUUAGAGGGGGUGGACGCGAAACCAAGUGAUCUACACAUGACCAGGAUGAAGUUUCGGUAACACGGGAUGGAGGUCCGAACCGUUUGGCGUUGAAAAGCCCUCGGAUGAGUUGUGUGUAGGAGCGAAAGACCAAUCAAACUUGGAGAUAGCUCGUACUCCCCGAAAUGCAUUUAGGUGCAGCGUGGUAGUAGUCUAUAUGAGGUAGAGCGACUGAUUGGAUGCGAGGGCUUCACCGCCUAUCAAGUCCUGAUAAACUCCGAAUGCGUAUAGAUGUUCUGCCGCAGUGAGGGCGCGGGUGCUAACGUCCGUGUCCGAGAGGAAAAGAAUCCUUACCAUCGUCUAAGGCCCUUAAAUGUAUGCUAAGUUUAGUUAACGAAGUUUUGUCGCAGUGACAGCUAGGAUGUUGGCUUGGAAGCAGCCAUUCAUCUAAAGAGUGCGUAACAGCUCACUAGUCGAGCGACGGAGCGUGGAUAAUAAUCGGGAAUAAGCAUACUGCCGAAGCCAUGGGUUUCGUAAGAAGCGGUAGGGGAGCAUUCUGUUCAGCGUCGAAGGCGUGUUGCGAGACACUCUGGAGCGUACAGAAAAGCAAAUGUAGGUAUAAGUAACGAUAAAGGAGGUGAGAAACCUCCUCGCCGGAAGACUGAGGAUUCCUGAUCAACGUUAAUCGGAUCAGGGUUAGUCGGGACCUAAGGGUAAGCCGAAUGGCGAGCCCGAUGGAAGAAACUGUUAAUAUUCAGUUACUGGCAUACGCACUGAUGUGGAGACGGAGGAAUGAAAGUCCUGCCAACUGACGGAAUAGUUGGUUAAAGGGUGUAGAUGUAGAUAGUGUAGGCAAAUCCGCACUAGAAUCGAACCUGAAAGUACCUCGAGGGCUUGCCUGAGGGGAAAUGGAUGUAAUUAGACUCCCAAGAAAAUCUGCUAAAGAUAUGCGUAUGGUACCCGUACCACAAACGGACACACGUGGUCACGUAAAGAGUACUAAGGCGCUCGAGAGAUUCACAGCUAAGGAACUAGGCAAAAUAGCCCCGUAACUUCGGGAAAAGGGGCGCUCUCUGGAAGAUGGGAGCCGCAGAAAAAUGGCUCAAGCGACUGUUUAACAAAAACACAGGGCUAUGCAAAAUCGAAAGAUGAAAUAUAUGGCCUGACACCUGCCCGGUGCCGGAAGGUUAAGAGGAGAUGUCACGAAAGGAAGCAUUGAAUUGAAGCCCCGGUAAACGGCGGCCGUAACUAUAACGGUCCUAAGGUAGCGAAAUUCCUUGUCGGGU
rnacentral:rRNA from 1 species